UAUUCAAAACACUGAUCUGCUGUAAAAUUGCAAACAACACUUCCAAAUAAUAAAAGUGUUUAAGGAAAAAAAAAAUAAAGCUGAACCCAGAGGAAGUUGCUUCCUUAAAACCGGGCAUCUGUCGUGGAAGAGGCUGCUACUGCGGGGAAGGUCAUAUGCCAAAGUGAGGUGAAACAUGGAAGGGUUUUAUUCAGGAAAAUACGUGUGUGAGAGAAAACAGAGAGAAGAUAAGAUUGUAAUAGCCAUCAACCCACAAGGCAAGGCUGAUCCUGUGGGAAGAAGAGACGGAGGAAAGGUUGGAUAGACGCCAUCGAGACUUCCAUGCAACUCAAGGAACACCCAGCAGUCACUGAGGCGUUAUCCAGCCAGAGAGACCAGAGGGCGGGGUCUUCUCCUAGCAUCAGUCCACGCCAACCACGGCGAGCACGGGCUGUUCUACUCCCGUGCACGAAAAGCCUCCUUGGAAAGUUCCUAGUUUAAUGUUGUACUUCGGCGUCCAUCUGCAUAUGCUGUGUGUUCUGGGAGAAGGACUUUUAUUUCUAACUGAUAGUUUUAUUGUUAGAUAUCUGUAUACUUUCAGCUGCUUGCCAGUAGGAAAUGAUUGCGUAAGAUCGUGGAGCUUUUCUUGAAGUUCAGGGUCUUCUUUGUGUUUGUUUGGGGUCGUUUUUUUAGUUUUAGCAACCUGCAUCACCUGCCUGGAUAAAAUACUAAGCUACUAGAUAUUAUUCAUAAUUCAACCUUAAUUCUAACCACCCAUCCCUGUAUCAGCUGGAGCACAUGGCUUUCCCAAGCUAUAUAAUUUGUAAGUAGGCCCAGCAGGGUUUUAUGACCAGAACCUUCCAGAUCUCAAGUCUGAGGUAAAGGAAGGUUUAAAGGUCAUAAAGCACCCUGUAUGAUCUCUCAUCAGGCUAGGCAGUUUGGGCCCCUCUCUAUUCACCAAAGAUUACGAUGACUCUCAGUAGUACUAAGAUGUUGAAGAAAUACAAAUUGCCAAAGAAAACUCAAAGAGCAUUUUCAUAUGGGUCUGCCUAGUUACAGAAUGAAAAAUAUAUUCAUGCCUAUUUUAACGAACAUUGUGUUAAUUUAGAUACGAAAGUAUCUAAGAACAGACACUGAAUUUAUUUGGGAGAGAUAUUUACACUAGGCACCUAGAGA